GUGCAUAUGAUGUGAAUUUUAUAUUGGCUGAAUAUCUAUGAUGCAUUCAAAGGAACCACUGAUGCCA